rnacentral:tRNA from 3 species
CGGGGUGUAGCGCAGCCUGGUAGCGCACUUGCUUCGGGAGCAAGGGGCCGGAGGUUCAAAUCCUCUCACCCCGACCA